UACAGAGGUCUCAAGCGUUGUUCGGAAUCACUGGGCGUAAAGGGUGCGUAGGUGGCGUGGUAAGUCAGUGGUGAAAGCCCGCAGCUCAACUGCGGAAUUGCCAUUGAAACUGCCGGACUUGAAUCCGGUUGAAGUGGGCGGAAUAUAUCAUGUAGCGGUGAAAUGCUUAGAUAUGAUGUAGAACACCGAUUGCCGAAGGCAG
rnacentral:rRNA from 1 species